UACAGGGAGAACUAAUUUUUAAACAGUAAAAAUUAUCAAGGAUCAAUUUUCAAGUUUCAAUUGUUGUGAAUCAAUGUACUUCUCAAAACAAUUAUGGGCUCAAAGAUGAAAAUGGAAUUGAAAAAAAGGAAAAAAAAAAAUAGAGACUGCAAAGUUGAGAGCGAAAGUGGGAGAGACAAAAUGGAGAGAGACUAAUUUGAAAGUGAAUCACUUUUGAAAUAUUUUCUUAUACUAUAUAAGAAUGAGUUUAGAUCGAAGGGGUUUUGAAUUUCAACUGGAAGGAUAGGGGCAUUAUGGGAUUGUGAGGCUGUUUGGAAUGUAGUUAUAGUGCAAAGUACAAUUUAUGGUAGAGUUUGUUUUCUUGUACUUCCGAAAAUGGCCUUUUGUUUUGUAAAUGCUAUAUGGUUCAAUUUAUGUUUUUGAAAAUAUUUGGACAUUUCUGAAAUGUGUGGGUAUCGUGGUUGUCUUUAUAGUAGUGACUAGGGGAAAAAGCCCACGUCACGCGCGGGAGUUUAGUACCUGUAAUUAAAGAUAGUUAAUAAUUAUUAUUUGGUAUUUUGUAGUAUAAGAAUUGAAGUAUGAUAAUUUUAUUAUGUGAUAUUAAACAGAAAAAUUAUAAAUUACAUAUUGAGUCAAAAAAAUAUAAUAUGCAAUGAAAUGUAAUUAUAAGAUACGAUCAAGCACUUUGCGUUUAAUCUAAUAGAAUAAAAGAUCUACUUAUAUUUGCUCAUGCACUUUAGGAAUAUUAAAAUUUGUUAUUUAGUUUGAAUUUGAUCUUGAUAUGAGGGCAAUUCACCACAUUAUCUAGUCAUAUAAGUGAGAUUUGAACAAUUAGCAUACUUGAAAAAAUCACUGCCAGUGGAAUUUUGGUUCUUGCAAGCCAAAUUCUUGAAUUUAUAUUGAUUCCAAGGACAUAUCAUCAUGAAACCUCCACAUUGACCAAUC
rnacentral:lncRNA from 1 species